rnacentral:tRNA from 1 species
GGGAAGGUGGCUCAGCGGUAGAGUGCUUGCCUUGCAUGCAUGAGGCCCUGGGUUCGAUUCCUCAGCACCCCA